rnacentral:piRNA from 1 species
GGUGGCUGAACUGAAAUCAACAC